AUAUUUUUUAAAAUAUACUGAUUUAAUAAUUGAUUUUAAUAUUGAUCUUGCCCGGCGCCAUCUAUUAAUCACUUACCUUACUAGCUCAGUUAUAAUGUGAAACCUGCAUGAAAUCUCCUAUCUGUGGAGGUGUGAGAAAAAGAUUUCUGAAAUAUCAACUAAACAAACGACACAAAAAUAAAGCUAUGAAAUGGUGGAUAAAUAACAAAAGACUGUCGAAUAUUGUACAGAAAUUUGGAAAUAUAUUGAAAAAUAAAGGCUUUGUUAUGCAACAUCAAAAAUACAAGGUUAUCUAGUCGAAAGUCUGAAUAAAGAAAUACGAUGCAAUGAAUUUAACUAUAAAAAAAAAUAAGAGUAUUUGACAAAAAAUUAAGUCGAAGAUAACCCAAAAUUAUCUUGAAUAUUCAAAAUUUGUUAUACUAAAGCUAGAAAAUGAAAAACAUUGACUUUCGAUCAUGAUCAAUUAAAAAUAUAAACUGUUCAGUACAACCUUUCACGAUGUAAUAUGAAGAUAAACCAAACUGCUAUGAAGUCUCUUCGGAUCCAAGAAGAAACCAACUCCUCCUUCACUGGAACAAUGUUCUAAAUAUGGUAGAUACCCGCAUCAGAAUACUUUUUCACUUUUCUUAUAAAGUUGAGGGUCAUUUUUGAAAAUUUUUUCUUCACCAUGAAGAUUAUUUAUACAGAUUGAUGUCUAUUUCAACAUAAUUUCACAAAUCUACACAUGCAGCUAAGUGAUGCAAGACGUAUCACCUUAACGAAGUUCCUUUCGAAGUGACUUUUGGAAACAUGGAACCUUUUGAUGAUUCUUACGAACAAAUAAGGCUAUUGUAUGAUACAAAUA